rnacentral:rRNA from 1 species
AGAACGCUGGCGGCGUGCCUAAUACAUGCAAGUCGACGGGCUUAUUCGAGUAGCUUGCUAUUUGGAUAAGUCAGCGGCGACGGGUGAGUAACACUGGGUAAUCUGCCUCGUAGUCUGGGAUAACAAGCCGAAAAGGUUUGCUAAUACCGGAUGAGUUCAUGUUAUUGCAUAGUGACAUGAAGAAAGGGGAGACCCGCUAUGAGAUGAGCCCGCGUCCCAUUAGCUAGUUGGUGGGGUAAAGGCCUACCAAGGCGACGAUGGGUAGCCGGCCUGAGAGGGUGGACGGCCACACUGGGACUGAGACACGGCCCAGACUCCUACGGGGGGCAGCAGUAGGGAAUCUUCGGCAAUGGGCGGAAGCCUGACCGAGCGACGCCGCGUGAGGGACGAAGGCCUUCGGGUUGUAAACCUCUGUCUGGGGGGACGAGUAAGGACGGUACCCCCGGAGGAAGCCCCGGCUAACUACGUG